rnacentral:lncRNA from 10 species
CCCUCUUCCCCCAGCUUUUGGUCGGCUUUGCUCACCCACCAACAGCUAGGAGCUGGAAGGCUCAGAAGAGCUGGGGUGGGCAUGGGAGAGACAGAGGAACCCCGGUGGCUGGAAACACAGUUCCUUCCCAGGGUCUCUUCAGCUUGCUGGUUGGACCUCUUAGCCUGCUUAUGAAGCCUGAAUUGACAUCAUGCCAACUGGUCUCCUGCUGAUAAGUGAUUCCUUAACUUCCUCGGGAGCAGCAGAAACUUGUUUUGAAAAAAAUCAGAUUCUAAAUCUUUACAGCUGUUUACUUCUGCAAGCACAAUGGCCGUAGUAAGGAAUUCAAGUCACAGCGCAGCCGUGGCAGGGAAGGCUCUGCAUGGAGUCACAGGACAAAGCCUGUCCUGGAAACGUGCUGGAAGGAAGUCGGCCUCAUUCUUUACGACGGGCAGCAGCUCCAAAUGAGAAACCAAGGGGCUUGGCUCUGGACACAGAAUGUUCAGCUUAACAAAGAAAUGACACUUGCCAGCAACCGGAGCCUGGCAGAAGGAAACCUUUUGUACCAGCCCCAGCUGGACACGUUGAAAGCACGCUUGACCCAGAAAUACCAGGAACUCCAGGUUCUCUUUGAAGCCUAUCAGAUAAAGAAGACCAAAUUAGGUAACUUUUUAAGGGUGAUCAUUCGAGAAUAAAGAGUUGAGAGAAGGACACAUUUUCAAGCUAUUGCCCUACCAGGAAAGAAAUAUUACGGAAAAAUUUCAGGUUAAGAUAGCGACUCUACUGCAAUGAACAAAUAGCUUAUGUAUAUUAUUUAUUUAUUUUUAGAGACAGGGUCUUGCUCUGUCAGACUGGAGUGCAGUGGCGCAACCAUGGCUCAGCACGACCUCCUGGGCUCAGGUGAUCCUCCUGUCUCAGCCUCCUGAGUAGCUGGGACCACAGGUGUGCACUACCCCAAGCAGGCUAGUUUUUCAUUUUUUUGCAGAGAGGUUGUCUUGCUAUGUUGCCCAGGCUGGUCUUGAACUCAAGCCAUCCUCCUGCCUUUGCCUCACAAAGUGCUGCUAUUACAGACAUGAGCCACUGUAUUGGACUAGUUUAUGUAUGGAAUAUGGAGGGCCCCCAGACCUGCGGCCUCUCUGCACUUGCGGUUCGAGAGGGCAGGGUGUAUAGCAGGACUGCCCCCUCCUCCCAGUGGCCCUGACUGGUGGCGGUGACUGCUGAGGUCAGCCCAGGUCCACACGCACCUCCAGGGUCUGCAGUGUGAAGCAGGUUGCAGAAACGUGGGUACCUCGGGGCAGUUACCAGAAAAGGGGCUGGAGAUUAGGAGGAAGCCAGCCAGUUUAGCAGUCACCAGUUUAGAAGAGGAGACUUAACCACUUUUUAAAUUCAAGACCCCACCUUCUCUAAACAGCAUAGAAAAAGCUUUCUGAAUUAUGAUAUUAAACAGAUGUCUUAUGACGUUUGCCCGUUUGUCUUAU